rnacentral:rRNA from 1 species
GACGAACGCUGGCGGCGUGCUUAACACAUGCAAGUCGAACGGAAAGGCCCUGCUUUUGCGGGGUGCUCGAGUGGCGAACGGGUGAGUAACACGUGAGUAACCUGCCCUUGACUUUGGGAUAACUUCAGGAAACUGGGGCUAAUACCGGAUAGGAGCUCCUGCUGCAUGGUGGGGGUUGGAAGGUUUCGGCGGUUGGGGAUGGACUCGCGGCUUAUCAGCUUGUUGGUGGGGUAGUGGCUUACCAAGGCUUUGACGGGUAGCCGGCCUGAGAGGGUGACCGGCCACAUUGGGACUGAGAUACGGCCCAGACUCCUACGGGAGGCAGCAGUGGGGAAUAUUGCACAAUGGGCGGAAGCCUGAUGCAGCAACGCCGCGUGCGGGAUGACGGCCUUCGGGUUGUAAACCGCUUUCGCCUGUGACGAAGCGUGAGUGACGGUAAUGGGUAAAGAAGCACCGGCUAACUACGUG